rnacentral:rRNA from 1 species
UACGGGGGGGCAAGCGUUGUUCGGAAUUACUGGGCGUAAAGGGCUCGUAGGUGGCCAACUAAGUCAGACGUGAAAUCCCUCGGCUUAACCGGGGAACUGCGUCUGAUACUGGAUGGCUUGAGUUUGGGAGAGGGACGCGGAAUUCCAGGUGUAGCGGUGAAAUGCGUAGAUAUCUGGAGGAAUACCGGUGGCGAAGGCGGCAUCCUGGACCGACAUUGACGCUGA